AGUGAACGCUGGCGGUAGGCCUAACACAUGCAAGUCGAACGGCAGCACAGUAAGAGCUUGCUCUUACGGGUGGCGAGUGGCGGACGGGUGAGGAAUACAUCGGAAUCUACUUUUUCGUGGGGGAUAACGUAGGGAAACUUACGCUAAUAGCGCAUACGACCUACGGGUGAAAGCAGGGGAUCUUCGGACCUUGCGCGAUUGAAUGAGCCGAUGUCGGAUUAGCUAGUUGGCGGGGUAAAGGCCCACCAAGGCGACGAUCCGUAGCUGGUCUGAGAGGAUGAUCAGCCACACUGGAACUGAGACACGGUCCAGACUCCUACGGGAGGCAGCAGUGGGGAAUCUUGCACAAUGGGCGCAAGCCUGAUCCAGCCAUACCGCGUGAGUGAAGAAGGCCUUCGGGUUGUAAAGCCCUUUUGUUGGGAAAGAAAAGCAGCAGGUUAAUCCCCCGCUGUUCUGACGGUACCCAAAGAAUAAGCACCGGCUAACUUCGUG
rnacentral:rRNA from 1 species